rnacentral:rRNA from 1 species
ACACGUAAGUUGCGAGCGUUGUUCGGAAUUAUUGGGCGUAAAGGGCAUGUAGGCGGUUAUCUAAGCUUGGUGUGAAAGGCAGGGGCUCAACUCCUGGACUGCAUUGAGAACUGGAUAACUAGAGUUACUGAAGUGAAAUCAGAAUUCCAGGUGUAGGGGUGAAAUCUGUAGAUAUCUGGAAGAAUACCAAUGGCGAAGGCAGGUUUCAGGCAGAUAACUGACGCUGAGGUGCGAAGGUGCGGGGAGC